GGGGUUAUCAAGUUAGAAAGCAUUACAAAAUAAUUUGUUGGGCUGUCGGAAUUCUUGAUAAAGUUGUAUUGCGUUGGAGAAGGAAAGGAGUUGGUUUGAGAGGGUUUCGUAGCGAGGUAGGAUCCAUUGAUGAAAGUGAAGAUGAUGAUAUUAUAACGGUGUUCCGCAAACAAAAGGUGGAAGGAACCAUUGACGAGGCUGUUUCACGAGUGCUAUCCAUGGUUGACUCUCCCGAUGCUCGUCAGCAAUAUCAUCGUAUGCUUCAAGGAUUUCGAGAAGCCAAGGCUGAACUUGAUGGUGCCAG
rnacentral:misc_RNA from 1 species